rnacentral:lncRNA from 7 species
CGUAGAGCCCUUUUUGUACUACGAAAAAGAAGCUAUCAAUAUUAACUUCACCGGCUCUAGCUCUAUCACUUUAAUACAGGUGAAUGACUCUGGCUCUAAGAUAAGCUGUUUUUGUCAAACGAUUUGUAAAAUAGUUUUAACUCUAGUAAAAAUGCCGUUUUCAAGAAAAGCUAGAACUAGAGUAGUUUUUGGAUAAAUCAGACCUCUAUCAAACAGACCACGUUGAGAAAUUUAGAGGGGAGAGGUACCCCACCUUUUCAUUGCCAUUCAUAAGGGGUUAUACAUGAUCAAGUUACAUGUCUGUUCUCUGAUGUUUGACAGUCUUUUCAAUGAUAAUAAGAAUGAUUUAUUCAACCUCUGCAUCAGUUAUAUGAUGCAGCACUGAACUAAUCAAAUAUAGAUUCCUUGUUUUUAUUCUUUUCCCUUAAAAUUAAUUUAAAAAAUCAAUUAUUUCCUUGUGUCAGCAGGCCAUAAAUCUGGCGUGUGCCAUGAGUGUCGCCUAAAGUUCCCGCCAAUCACACGUAGCUGCACGGAAAGUUGCACUACCACAGUAUACCAAUCAUAUUUAAUAGUAUAGUAUAACAGUUAUACGACAUGAGGCUCUAAUGGUGUGAUGAAUCCUUCUCACAAAAAAAUUAAAAUAAACCAUGCUUACAAGAAAUAAAUUUAAAACUAAAAUAGACAAUGUGAACAUAUUAAAUAUUAAACUACAGAUAUUAUAUUUUAUCUUAACCAAAAGCCUAAGAAAGAUAUGAGUUGAAAAUAAGACUUGCUCUUAUUUUAUAGCUCGAUCUAUAGGGUGUUUGAUUUAAAAAAUAAGUUGGUUUAUCAUCUUCUCACUCCUUACUUCUUUGUUUGGUUUGUGAAAUGGAAUAAGUUAAUCUAUCACAAGCUCAUUCCUCGUAGUUAGUUAGUACUAAUAUAAGAAAUGAUAUCAUCCCACCAAAUUUAAAGAAUGAACUCAUGAUACAACCAAUCAUUUUGGAUAGAGUUGUUAUGAAAGAUAAGCAGUUGUUGACUGCUUUCCAACCCAGCGUUCUCCAAGGGACGUGCCCCUGCACGAUCCUCAUGUACGGACGUGGCUUUUGACCACUCCUUUUAGUGUCUCCUUCUCUUGUAUAAAUAUCAAAAGCAAUAAAGAAUGCAGUGCCCCUUUUUCAUUCUCGCACAACAGUUUCUAUUUCUCACACGUCAUCAGCACUUGCUUUUACAAAAAAGAGCAAAGGCCAAAACAAGAAGACCGGAGGCAAGAAGUUCUUCAUAAAAGGAAAAAAAAUA